CCAAAUCUCCAAGAGUCGAGUUGUUUGGGAAUGCAGCUCUAAGUGGGUGGUAAAUUCCAUCUAAAGCUAAAUACCGGCGAGAGACCGAUAGCGAACAAGUACAGUGAUGGAAAGAUGAAAAGCACUUUGAAAAGAGAGUGAAAAAGUACGUGAAAUUGUUGAAAGGGAAGGGCUUGCAAGCAGACACUUAACUGGGCCAGCAUCGGGGCGGCGGGGAGCAAAACCACCGGGGAAUGUACCUUUCGAGGAUUAUAACCCCGGUCCUUACUCCCAUA
rnacentral:rRNA from 1 species